rnacentral:rRNA from 1 species
GUCGGGAGCACGAUUCUACGGGAGGCAGCAGCUAAGAAUAUUCCGCAAUGGACGAAAGUCUCGUACGGAGCGACGCCGCGUGGAUGAUGAAGGCCGAAAGGUUGUAAAAUCCUUUUGUCGGGGAAGAAUAAGCGUGGGAGGGAAUGCCCGCGUGAUGACGUUAACCGGCGAAUAAGCCCCGGCUAACUACGUGCCAGCAGCCGCGGUAACACGUAGGGGGCGAGCGUUGUUCGGAAUUACUGGGCGUAAAGGGCAUGUAGGCGGUUUUAUAAGCCUGACGUGAAAGGCUAUGGCUCAACCAUGGCAUUGCGUUGGGAACUGUGAGACUCGAAUCACGGAGGGGGAGCUGGAAUUCCAGGUGUAGGGGUGAAAUCUGUAGAUAUCUGGAAGAACACCAGUGGCGAAGGCGAGCUCCUGGCCGAUGAUUGACGCUGAGGUGCGAAAGUGUGGGGAUCAAACAGGAUUAGAGACCCUGGUAGUCCACACUGUCAACGAUGUGCACUAGGUGCUGGGGCGGACGUCUCAGUGCCGGAGCUAACGCGGUAAGUGCACCGCCUGGGGAGUAUGCUCGCAAGGGUGAAACUCAAAGGAAUUGACGGGGGCCCGCACAAGCGGUGGAGCAUGUGGUUUAAUUCGAUGGUACACGAGAAACCUUACCUGGGUUUGACAUACACUUGAAUACGGUAGAGAUAUCGUAGUCCCCGCAAGGACAGGUGAACAGGUGCUGCAUGGCCUGUCGUCAGCUCGUGCCGUGAGGUGUUGGGUUAAGUCCCGCAACGAGCGCAACCCCUACUGCCAGUUACCAACACGUUAUGGUGGGGACUCUGGCGGAACUGCCGGUGACAAACCGGAGGAAGGUGGGGAUGACGUCAAGUCCUCAUGGCCCUUAUGUCCAGGGCUACACACGUGCUACAAUGGUCGGUACAAAGUGACGCGAAGCCGCGAGGUGAAGCAAAUCGCAGAAAGCCGGCCUUAGUUCGGAUUGGAGUCUGAAACUCGACUCCAUGAAGGUGGAAUCGCUAGUAAUCGCACAUCAGCACUGUGUGCGAGUGAAUACGUUCCCGGGCCUUGUACACACGCGCCACUCACUGUAGCAGUCUAGU